rnacentral:rRNA from 1 species
UACGGGGGGGGGCAAGCGUUGUUCGGAAUUACUGGGCGUAAAGGGCUCGUAGGCGGCCAACUAAGUCAGACGUGAAAUCCCUCGGCUUAACCGGGGAACUGCGUCUGAUACUGGAUGGCUUGAGUUUGGGAGAGGGAUGCGGAAUUCUCGGUGUAGCGGUGAAAUGCGUAGAUAUCGAGAGGAACACCUGCGGCGAAGGCGGGUUGCUGGGCUGACACUGACGCUGAAGCGCGAAAGCUAGGGGAGCGAACGGG